UCUUGAUGGUGUUGACCUGCUAUUUUUUUCCUCUUUAGUGCUGACAUUUUGGUCUCUCGGAAUAUUUUAAUGUCAUUUGAAUUCAGAUAAUUUUGUUACUCAUGCAUAGAGCCUUUGCAUCUGAAAGGUGGUUUGCGCGAUCGCAACCAAUCUUACAUGUGUUUGUAUUUUUGUUUCAACAGGAACUUCUCAUCAAAGGAACUGCAAGGGCCAACUCUCUUGUGACCGGUGACCUGACGGAGCCUUUUUUGGCGUGAACUGAUAACCUUAUGGUGCUAACUAGGAUGCAUGCUUUGCUGCCACUUUUACAGAGGUUGUUCAUGUUAUCUUAGAUGCCCCCGAGAUGUACCGUUGUGCUUUCAUGAAAGAAAAUGCAGAUGGAACGAGGGUGGGAGGUGGUGACGCAUCAGCACCGGAGACGCAGAUCCGCGGCGGAGCAGGAUAGGUGACGAGGACGACCUGUGACUCCUCAUGGCAAAUAAAUUUCUCACAUCCCCUCCCUGGCUCCCUUCCUCUGCUUCGCUGCUGUAGUAACCCCACCAUCCGGCUCGUGGAGAAGUCUCAGUUGAGGAGAGGGUGGCGCUGCCGCAUCCAUUCUCCUCAGACGUUGUGUUUCCCUUUCCCCUUCCUCAAUCUGCCUUUUCCCAGUUGUUCUCGCUUCUUUGAGCAUGGGCUGAUGUGUAGGCUUGAUCUAUUAUUUUGCAGGUCCUGCUCGCUGUUGGUUGUAACAUCAUCGUCUACCAGACAGCCUCCACACCGCAAGAGAUGGAGAUGGUUGCCGUCGGAACCGGUGGUUGAGGUCGAGUACGCCUCGUUGUCGUCGGCGUCUACAUCCGUUACGUGUGAGGAACUUGCUGAUGCUGGCACCAGAUUCAGCAGGGAGGAUAUUUAUGAGGCCUUUCAUUCUUGUGGUAUUCCCACACAUCUUGCAAGUUCAAGAGGGUGAGCCCAGCUGAAUGUGCGGCGACGUCUUGUACCUUUGCAAGCCGAGUAUCUUGCUCUAAUUUGUUGACAGGGUAAGAGGUACAGUCACCAAUCCAUACGCACUUCUGCACUUUUUCGCUAUUUCUUGGUCACAUGGCUGAUUUAUUUUUCAAGAUCUAUGUGGAAGAUCAUCAUUAUGUUGAAUUUUAGUGAGAAAAGUCAUUGCCAUUCUAACUUUGGUUUUUGAUUUAAUGUACUGCUUCCAUCAUUUCUCCAUGAGGUGGAAAAAGGACGGGUAGAACAUCUAAGGCCAAUAAUCCUAUAUGUUUUAUGAAGCAAGGUCCAGUAGCCAGUGGUUCUUUCAGCACUUCUGAAAUACUAUUCUUUUAUACAUAAAAAAAUUAACUGGAAUUUAAGAAAGUUCACACUGCAUCUCUGAGGGCUCAAGAAAGAGACAAGAACUUGUGCUUCCAGCAGCGAAUAUAGCUAGCCUAGAUGAAUCAGAACAAGAACAAGUGUCGAGAAGUUACAGAUGAGGAAGUGCAGCUGGUAUGGCCUCUCCGUUUUUGCCCCAAAUCAAGCACGGAAAAAACUGCUGGACAAUCAACUUCUUGCCAAUUUAUAGUUGACUUCCUGCUAUGAUUCGCUCCCUAAAAGAAAUUGCAAUCAUCUUGAAACAAGUAAUUUAUCUAGCUACAAAUGCUUAUUCUAGACUGAUUAUGUUGCUUCCAAUUGCGGAUAGUGCGUUAUAGUUGACACUUUAGUCUACAUAUCUGCUAAAUAUUUACAUGUCUGCACGGCCAGAAAAAUCAGAUAGUCUACUUAAACUUUAGUGAUGGGUAGUUAUUCUACUUCUUUGGCUAUAUGUUCAGCAAGGAUCGCACAUCUGAAACAAGUAGCUGGCUUGCUUUUGCUACAUGCUCCCUGUAUAUAACUCACUUUUCUAUUUCUUGAGGACAACACCAUGUAGAGCUUUUAGAGGUUGGUCCCGGUUUCAGAUACAAAGCGCCUGAUUGUUUUUUGUAAAUUUAUUCUGCUCCUUACAUGAUGGUCUGUGCUACUUCCAAACUUGAAUGCAGAUUUUAUUGUACAAUGUAAAUUAAAUCGUUCGUUUCUACUGCAUGUUAAAGGAGCUGGCCAAUGUUGGCAUGAAGUUAUAAGAGGUAGCUGGCUAUGGAGAAUUUUGGUACUGGUGAUGAAUUGCCACCUUUUCCUUGCUUGCCAUCAUGCCAUGAUUCGAAAUUUAGUUGCCAGAGACUACCAAAAAGGAUUGCGUGCGCUGCCAUCAUACAUUUACACCUCUAAACUUAGUUUGUUGACUAAAUUGUGUAGGUCCCUUUUGCCGAAGAAUGUUCUAGACUAGAUAGCCAGCUUGCUGUUGUUGUUUGGAACUUUUCAGUCGGGCUCUUUUGUUAAAGCGAAAACCAUAUAUAUGUAAUGUGUGCGGUGGUUUGUAGGACUUCACAGAUGUUGUACUAAAAUUCAGUUUCAAUGGAGUUCAGUUCAGUGAUGUUCUAGACUAGAUACCAUUCAAAAAAGGUCACACGUGGAUGUAGGAUCAUAGAAGAGUCAGGGGAAGAGGGAGGUACCUUCGUAGAUUGCCCAGGGGUAUUGGCGAUGUAUGCGGCAGGGCCAGAUGCUCUGAAUCAACAGGGCACCCCUCUGGCUGCCUUGCUCAUUCACACUUCUUUUUUGUUUGGGGAGGGGUGGGUUGCAAUCUGGACCGGGUGGGACGCUGGAAACUGUGAGCAAAAAUUUUCAAUCCAACCUAAGCUCCAAAUGAAAUUAGAUGUUUUUUUUAAAACUACUGUAUGAAGCGAAAACAAGUAUGCACACAAGUCGACCAGACAAUGGACAAAAAAACGGCCUGAACCGAAGUUAAAAACAGACUUCUGUUGAUUAGACACUCCCAUAAUAUAUGCCAGGAAUGUGUUUUCAUAGUUAAUUUUGUGGAUAUUUGAUUAAGCAUAAUUGUAUCAUGAUAUUUGGCUUGGUCCUCCAUUAUAUCAAUAAUAUAACCGAGUUUCAGAGAAGAUGCUUGAUCUGUUGUAUAGGCUCCUAUGUGCAUGUCAGGGACAGAAGUUGCUAAAGAAAGCUCCGACAUUAUAAUCUUAGAUGAUGACUUCGCAUCUGUUGUGAAGGGCAAAUCUUCACUGAAUCUUGGAGAGUGAUGGAAGAUAAUGGGCCCAAGCUUUCACGAACGCCAAGGAUCCAAUUUCAAGCUUUGGCCUCUUCCACAAAUUCGCCGUUGAAUCAGGAGGUCUACUGAAAAUUGGUCCUAGAGGAGCUCUCCAUGAAGUUUCUACAAGAACCAAAAUCAAUCCUACAAGCAUCAGAUAUAUCAAAGGAGGAAGCAUGGUUCCCAAGUGCAUACCUUAAUAUUAAUGAAUGUUGUCUACAACCAUGGCCUUCCCAAAACAGGACAACACAAUUAUUCUCUGGAGGGACAAGGGAUCUGAUGAUUAUCCAGUGAACUGUAUGUCUCUGAAGGAGCUUUGCACUCAACUGAUGUAUGCAUGUUUAAUCAAACUAAGAGUAGGAGAUAUGCAUAACCAGUCUUUGGGGUUAAUCUUUUUGUGAAAAGAAUUUCAUGAACAUGGAAAAAUGGCCAACUUUGCUUUGUACAAAAAAGGUAGACAUGAUAAUCUAUUUAUCUCUCACUGAACUACUCUGAAUUUUGUGGUACCUGGUGAAGUUUAAAAAAUGGUUAUUCCUUGCUACCUUUAAUGAUAAAUGAUAUUGAAUGUGUGACUAAAUAGUUCUGCUCAAGCACUCCUUGGACUCUUUUCAGAUGGUAUUGUCAAAGCUUUGGCUGAGAGAUUAUAUUAGUAGUGGUUCCAAAACAUUAACCGUUCAGUCAAAGACACUGGUUGUGAUCAGAACAUCAAUCAAGAGUGUGGAAUGUUUGAGCUGAGAAAUACUAGCAUGCUGCCAAUGAUUAGUGGUUAGAGGUUUUUCAUCUAUCAUGUUUAACCAAGGUAACCAUAUCAGGUAGAUUGCAUCGCACCUAAAACGUUUCUUGAAGAUUCAUGAUACUUUGGCUGCACUUCACUACAUGUCUCUCGCUGCGAAAGAAAGGCAUAUAUCCAUAUGAUACCGAAUCAGAUUCAGGCUGUUGUGAAGGUUCCGAUGAUGACAUGGGCGAUGGCUACACUAACUAUGUGUGAUUGCCAGAGCCAGUAAAUUAAUGUUAAGACACUUUGUUAUGCUCUAGCCCAGUAUAUUGUGAACACUAUGUAUUCUGCCCGCUCUAAAAACUUCAUGCAUCACUUGUGUUAGUUAGUUGCUUAGAUAACUUUCCCUAUCCACUGUAAUAUGUGCAUUUGCCAUAUAUUGAACCUACCAUCAAUGGCAUGUUCUGUACUAGCAUUUCCCUGUAUGCUUGUUGAUCGUCAUAUAUUUUCUUCAACACUUAUAUGCCCUCUUUCAGUACAGUUAUAUUGUGCGUUCUACUUAUGUAAGAGCACACUUCUAUUCUUCUUCUUUGUUUGAAUGCCCUUUAUUUUUCCUGUGUUUUACUUCUCCACGAUGAGGUCAAUUUCGAUACCGAUGACAUAUACAACAAUGACUCUACCUAAUUUUAGGAUGUGUUUGCUUUGUGUCACCAAGUGGAACGGCACGGGUUGGUUCCAUCCCAAGGACCCGUUCCGGUGUUUGGAUUGUGGAAGGAACCAGAACUCAGCGCUUCCAAGGAACAGCAUAUUCCCUGUUUAUGCCGAACCUAGGCGUUCCUCCAAAUCGGUCGGACCACGCGGAACGCCUCGCUCGCGUCUCUUGUCCUCAUCUCUCACCCACCUCGCGGCCCGCGGCCCAGCCACCCACGACCUCUGCCCUCUCUCCCUCGAUGGCCAUGGAGGCGGCCGUCGGCCGGAGCACCUUCCCUUCCUCCACUGCACCCCAUCAUCGACGGCGUCCUCUUGUGCGCGGUCGCGGCGGAUGCGCGGCCGAGGUCUGGCUCAUCGAAGACGCAGCCUGCAUCACACCCGCUAUGUCGCUGACCUCUGCCCCUCAUCGGAAGUGCAGCCUCGCCGGCGUCUCCUGUCCCUCCUAUCUACCCCUCGACCAGGGAUCUGGCGGAAGGAGUUCGGGGUGAGGUGCGUCUGUGUGUACGUGAGGAGGCGCAUGUGUGUGUGUGUGUGGCGUGGUGCGAUUAGAAGGCCAACCUAGCUCGCAACCAUGGCUGCCGAGCUCGAGCUUGAGCGGCUGGACGGCCUCGGUGCAAGAGCAAUGUGCAAUUCACCCCGUCGGCCAGAUGAUUGAAAAAGAACUGAAGGAGCAAGGCUGCGUUUGGGUGGCUGCUAUUGAUCCAGAAAUUUUGUAUUUGGGUCGCUGCUAUCGAUCUUGUGGACUGGAGGAGCAAGGCUGGACGAGCAAGCUGCAUUUUUUGCUUGUAGCACACAGAUCAGAUGCAGACUUUGGUAUUUGGGUGGCCUUUGUUUGAGUGAAAUCCAAUCAGAUUAGCUGCAAUUUGUUUUUGACAGAGUGUUCUUGAAUCUUGAUGCUCACACUGCUGCACAAUUCAAUAUUUAUCUGCCUUUUUAA